rnacentral:rRNA from 1 species
UACGUAGGGUGCGAGCGUAAUCGGAAUUACUGGGCGUAAAGCGUGCGCAGGCGGUUGUGCAAGACAGAUGUGAAAUCCCCGGGCUAACCUGGGAAUUGCAUUUGUGACUGCACGGCUAGAGUGUGUCAGAGGGGGGUAGAAUUCCACGUGUAGCAGUGAAAUGCGUAGAGAUGUGGAGGAAUACCGAUGGCGAAGGCAGCCCCCUGGGAUAACACUGACGCUCAUGCACGAAAGCGUGGGGAGCAAACAGG